rnacentral:rRNA from 1 species
ACCCAGACUCCUACGGGAGGCAGCAGUGGGGAAUAUUGCACAAUGGGGGAAACCCUGAUGCAGCGACGCCGCGUGAGCGAUGAAGUAUUUCGGUAUGUAAAGCUCUAUCAGCAGGGAAGAAAAUGACGGUACCUGACUAAGAAGCCCCGGCUAACUACGUGCCAGCAGCCGCGGUAAUACGUAGGGGGCAAGCGUUAUCCGGAUUUACUGGGUGUAAAGGGAGCGUAGACGGCUGUGCAAGCCAGAUGUGAAAGCCCGGGGCUCAACCCCGGGACUGCAUUUGGAACUGUGUGGCUGGAGUGUCGGAGAGGCAGGCGGAAUUCCUAGUGUAGCGGUGAAAUGCGUAGAUAUUAGGAGGAACACCAGUGGCGAAGGCGGCCUGCUGGACGAUGACUGACGUUGAGGCUCGAAAGCGUGGGGAGCAAACAGGAUUAGAUACCCCCGUAA